rnacentral:sRNA from 1 species
GGUCUUCACUUGUCUCCUCAAGCAGAACUAGAUUUCUGGAUGAUGAGGAGAGAAAAUCUGUCAUGCAUUUAUGAUCAACUUCAGGCACCUAUUGUCCUCAAAAUGGUUAAGAUCCUGACAACUAAACAAAGCAGCUAUUUUCCUACUCUGAAGGACAUUUUUCUGGCUGUGGAAAAUGGUAAGACUCUUGUUCCUCAGCCUGGCAUCAAUAUCACCAUCUGCUCAUGAUCCAGCCCCUGCCUGCUCGGCCUUGAUAUUUACCCUUCCACCAUGUUCGUGGAGUGAUUGCUCUUGGCUCUUCUAAUGAUAAAUUCAUCUCACCCUUUGUACUAUAUUCUCCACCCAUACUAAACUACUUUUAGUUUAUCUGGUAUAUAGUAGAUACCUGCCAAAGUGGCUCCAGAUUGAAAUUUUAAUUAGAAUGUUUGUGCAGGAGUGAGGCCUUCAUUCAGAGG